AUUGAACGCUGGCGGCAGGCUUAACACAUGCAAGUCGAGCGGGGGAGGUUGCUUCGGUAACUGACUUAGCGGCGGACGGGUGAGUAAUGCUUAGGAAUCUGCCUAUUAGUGGGGGACAACAUUCCGAAAGGAAUGCUAAUACCGCAUACGCCCUACGGGGGAAAGCAGGGGAUCUUCGGACCUUGCGCUAAUAGAUGAGCCUAAGUCGGAUUAGCUAGUUGGUGGGGUAAAGGCCUACCAAGGCGACGAUCUGUAGCGGGUCUGAGAGGAUGAUCCGCCACAAUGGGACUGAGACACGGCCCAGACUCCUACGGGAGGCAGCAGUGGGGAAUAUUGGACAAUGGGCGGAAGCCUGAUCCAGCCAUGCCGCGUGUGUGAAGAAGGCCUUUUGGUUGUAAAGCACUUUAAGCGAGGAGGAGGCUACUUAGAUUAAUACUCUAGGAUAGUGGACGUUACUCGCAGAAUAAGCACCGGCUAACUCUGUGCCAGCCGCCGCAGUAAUAC
rnacentral:rRNA from 1 species